rnacentral:rRNA from 1 species
CUCCUCAAGAAUUAAUUUGAGGUAUAGCCUGCUCUAUGAAUUUAUUUAAAUGGCCGCGGUAUUCUGACCGUGCGAAGGUAGCAUAAUCAUUAGUCUUUUAAUUGAAGGCUGGUAUGAAUGGCUGGACGAGAAAAUUUCUGUCUCUGUUAUAAAUUUUGAAUUUGAUUUUUAAGUGAAAAAGCUUAAAUAUUUUUGGGGGACGAUAAGACCCUAUGGAUCUUUAUAAUGAUGAUUAAUAAAAAGUUUAGAAGUUACAGCUUUUUACUCUAAGUUAUUGGGUUGGGGCGACUGGAAGAAAAAAAUAUCUCUUCUUAAAAAUAAAUAUUAUUUAUAGAAUUAAAAAUGACCCUAAAUUUUGGUUUAGCAGAUCAAGUUACCCUAGGGAUAACAGCGUAAUCUUUUUGGAGAGUUCAUAUCGAUGAAAAGGUUUGCGACCUCGAUGUUGGAUUAAGAGAUCCUUGCGGCGCAACAGUUGCGGAGGAAAGUCUGUCACUUUUAAUCUU